UUCUUAGUUUAUUUUGUUCAUGAGAUUCCACACAUAAGUGAAGUCAUAUGGUACUUGUGUUACUCAGACUGGUUUACUUCCCUUAACAUAAUACUCUGCAGGUCUAUCUAUGCUGUCUUAA